ensembl:lncRNA
UUUUUUUUUUUUACAGCCAAAUCCUCUGCAUAUGGAUGGAAACAGGGCACAGGGUGGGAAGGUGGAUUUAGGGGCUGUUCCGCCCAGUGAGCGGUUCCAGGAGCUGCCUCGUUCUGGUCCUGCUGUGGAAAAGAACCCGCUGGAUGUUCAUAUACGCACCUUCUUACCUGUUACUUGAGGGGCCCCUCACGUCAGGACUCCAAUGCUUGUUCACAGUCUUAGCCAUCUCUUGAAUUGAACGCAGGGACAAUGCUGCAAACUGUUCGGCAGGAAGUGGCUGGAAUAUGUUUUGCAGACAUCAGAAAUGCCCUGAGGAGAAGGUUAAUGGGUGAGAACAGAAGACGUCUUUUUUGACGACUCAGAUGCCAAACAUAUUUUAUCUGCACCAAAGUCCCUAGAGGUUGUUUUUAUGUGGGUAGUUGUUUUUCAUUAAAGUAGAAAUCUUUUCUCUUUUUCUUUUUUUUUUUUAAUUUGGAACAUUUUUGCCUUAAAUAUAUUUGUGCCCCAGUGAAACCUCAGGUCAAGCCCCCCUCAAUGCCUGUGGUCCCCCAAUUAUACUGGUUAAUCUUGGUUGUAGACACACCAGGACAAGCAUUACGAAAGGCUUCUUUUUAUUUUCCUUGAGGAUUUUCCUUUGAAAGAAGACAUUCUAUUAAAUUCUAAUGUCUUAAGGAUCCAGGGUUGCCAUGAGCUGUAUAGGAGGGUUCCUUUUCUCCACACCGUUUCCAGCAUUUGUUAUUUAUUGACUUGUUCAUGAUGCCGUCCUGACCAGUGUGUGGUGGUACCUCGUUGUAGUUUUGAUUUGCAUUUCUCUAGUAAUCAGUGAUAACAUGUCUCUUUCCGAGGAAGAGGAGAGGUAUAUGGAUGAUGAUGACUUUACCUUGAACUCCUAGUGAUGUGAUUCACAAACUGCAAUGAGCAAAAUACUCCUCUAGGAAACCUGAUAAAAUUUAUAUUCUCGGUCCUCAUUCUCCAGAGGUUCAGAUCCACUAAGUCUGAGGCCUGGCCUGAGAAUCAGCCUUCAGCAGGUCCCUAAGUGAUUUGAUGUGGGUAUCUGGAGAUCGCCCUUGAGCAAAUACCAGUGGACGAGUUCAUUAACCCUGGGGCCCAGGUGUUGUCAGUCCUGAGCCUUCUGGGUGGAAGAAGCAUCGAUCCUGGGUUAGGACUGGUCUUCUCACAAACUCUGGUUUCCUCACCCUAUCUGCAUGGUCAAACUGGAAACGCCGUCUGAUGGUCCUAGAAAGUACUCACCCCAACUUUCCUGUCCCUCAUCUGUAUAACACAACUAGCAUGGUGCUGGGCCCAUAGCCAAUACAGUCAAAUUCUUUUUGAUCUCAGUUGAACAGCGCUAUUGCAACCAGUUGUCUUUUCACUGCUCUCAGAACAUGGAGACAACUGUCAGUGCUCAGAAGCCUAAAGAGAGGAUGCAUGAUGAUUCAAACAGAACAAAGAGAGAGCUCCCGUUGUGACUUCGGGGGUUAAGAGCCAACUAGGAUCCAUGAGGAUGCGUGUUUGAUUCCUGGCCUCGCUCAGUGGGUUAAGGAUGUGGCAUUGCCGUGGGCUGUGGUGUAGGCUGGCAGCUAUAGCUCUGAUUUGAUCCCUAGCCUGGGAACUUCCAUAUCCCACAGGUGAGGCCCCCCCCCCAAAAAAAGGAAAAGAACAAAGAAGUUUAGGAUUGAUUAUAUGCUGUAGUUAUAGCAUCGCAGAAAAUGACAACUGUCAGGAGGGUCUCUGUAGAGAAUUUGGAAGAGAAAUGUUUACAAAAGUUUUAAGCUAAGAGCAGAGAGAUUUCAGGAAAAUAAUAUUUUCAAGAGAAUUAUAUUACUAUUUUGGGGGGAUUCUAUAUCUAUUUACCUAUCUAUGUAUCUAUGUAUCUGUUAUCUGUAUAUCUAUCAUCUAUUUGUCACAUACACGACUCUUUCACAUGUGGAUGUGCCUGUGCAUGCUCACACACACACACACCUACACACACGUGCACACACACACGUACACACACACAAAUGUGAGAAAUAUGUUGGACUAGAGGAUAAAAGCCUGAUCUCUGUUUUAAAGACGUGUGGCAGUGCAGACAUUUGGGGCAGGCCAUUUUUAUACUCUUAGCAUAAGUGACUAAUGAAUGUGUUUCUGCUCAUUCUUAAUAUACACAUCUCUGAUUUUCUUAGAGUGCCAGCUGGCUCAUUAGGAAGGCAGCGGUAAUGGAAAAAUUCAAGAUAUACCAGAGUUCUUUUUUGUGUGUUUGCUCACUCAGCUUUCUGGUGGGAGGCUGACACAUUAAUUCAUCAAACAUUUACCAAAUUCAGAGUAGUUUCUAUGUCUCAGAGGGUCACGACCGGCAAAGUUCAGGUCUGUAGGGGGCUUUCAUUAGGGAAUUGAUAUUUCCAUACUCGUCUUUGAGGUCCUGAUAUAACAAGCCUUGGAAAAAGGAAGCGGCCUGGGGAUUCUGUGUCUUUGGAUAUAUGCAUGAUGUUUCUGUGUCUGAGCAAACCCAGAUGUCAGAGCUAGAGUGCAUUUGAAAAUUGCCACAAAUGAUAAGUCAGACUCAGUUCGGAGUUGCUCGCAUUUCACUUGACUGCUGUAUCAGUGGUGCCAAUGCUGUGUACACUGCAUGCUGAUACCAGGAAGUAGAUGGAUCCUUUUAGUGUGUCUUUAGUUCCUUCUGGCCACGUAUGCCUGAGGGGAGGUGGGCAAGGUGGGUGGGCCGAGCUGAGAAUCUGCCAGCUUAGAGGAGCCUAGAGGUCUGCAUUGGAUGCCUUUGGCAGCACAGGGCUUGCAAAGACUUACCUACCACCCCACCCACCUCCCCCGUACGAGCUUCCUCUUCUAGCUCCUGCUGCCUGUGACAGGCCUGGUGGCAUCCUCCAUGCUGAGCUUCUGCGAGACAGAAAUCUCCUCAUUUGUCACUUUCCCACUGGUCCCUCAAUCUAAUGAUCCCCAAACUGUUUAUCAGUCUCCAGAUCCAGCUGUCCCGUAGGUACGGCGUCGUAGAUUCACAUAGAAAUGAAACAGCAGACACUACAAUAAGUGCUCAGAAAUAAGGAUCAAGAGGGACCAUUAUGAAAAAUUAUAUGCCAUCAAAUCGGGUGAUCUAGAAGAAAUAAAUACAUUUCUAAAACAUACAACCUACCAAACUGGAUCAAGAAGCAAUAGAAAGCCUGAACAUACCCAUAACAAAUCAGGAUGUUGAAUCAACAAUUAAAACUUUAAGUCCAGGAUAAGAUGGCUUCAUGGAUGAAUCUAACACAUAUUCAAAGAAGAAUUAGUACCAUUCCUUCUUGAACUCUUCCCCCCCCAAAAAAAAAAAAUUAGGAGAAGGGGGAACACUUCCAAACUCAUUAUGAGACUAGCAUCCCCCUGAUACAAGGAAAGAAAUAUUGUGUUUUAGAAAGAAACUGUCCUUAUUGUAUGUGUGGGCAUUGUAUUCUGUUUAAAAGGAGUAAAUACAGGGAGUUCCCACUGUGGCAUAGUGGGUUAAGGACCUGGCUUUGCUGCAGCUGUAGCUCAGAUUUGAUCCCUGGCCUGGGAACUUCCACGUGCCGUGACUGCAGCCAGAAAAAGAAAAAAUAAGGAGUAAAUAUGGUCUGAAUUAACCACUGGGUUCCAGAGAGAAUCUCAGAGAAGAGUCAUCAGGCACAGAGGCUCCCAGGAAGCAGGCAGAGAUGAGGUGUUUUGUUUUUUGUUUUUUGUUUUUGUCUCUCUUUUUUUUUUUUGCCAUUUCUUGGGCCACUCCCACGGCAUAUGGAAGUUCCAAGGCUAGGGGGUCGAAUUGCAGCUAUAGCCGCAGGCCUAUACCAGAGCCACGGGAUCCGAGCCACGUCUGCAACCUACAACACAACCUAGCUCACAGCAAUGCCGGAUCCUUAACCCACUGAGCAAGGCCAGGGAUUGAACCCUCAACCUCAUGGUUCCUAGUUGGAUUCGUUAACCACUGAGCCAUGUUGGGAACUCCAGAGAUGGAGUGUUUUUAUAUCAAGGCUGCAGGGGGCGGGGCGGGGGAGAGAACAGAGACCUGGGGAUGGAACCCUGCUUUCUACGAAAGUGCUAUAGUUAGAGUUAUCUGAUGAUAUUAAUGGAAAUGAUAAAUGUGAGUCAAGUGCUUUAUCGGCUCCAUAAACAAGCUGCUGGCCUGCGCCACCGCCACAGCAACACCAGAUCCGAGCCGCAUCUGUGACCUAUGCUGCAGCUUGUGGCAACGCUGCGUCCUAAACCCACUGAGUGAGGCCAGGGAUCGAACCUGUGUCCUCGCAGACACCAUGUUGGGUUCUUAACUUGCUGAACCACAACAGGAACUCCAGAAAUAAUUUUUUGAGAUUGCUUUCAAGAAGGCAGGAGCUUUUUCUUAUUUGUUUCUUUUCUUUUCUACUUUAUUUCUAUUCUAGAAUAAAGACUAAAGGAGAAAUAAAACCUAAUACAGUAUAUGCUACGUUUUCAAGGAACUUAACACAUCCAUUAUAAUCUUUUAAGCACUAUUGUCUGCCAGGUGCUGGGCUGGUAGAAAAGGGUACAGAGAGAAAUACUGGGAGUUCCCACUGCGGCACAGAGGAAACACAUCCAACUAGUAUCCAUGGAGAUGCGGGUUUGAUCCCUGGCCUCACUCAGUGAGUUAAGGACUCAGCGUUGCUGUGGCUGUGGUAUAGGCCAGCCGCUGUAGCUCUGAUUUGACCCCUAGCCUGGGAACCUCCAUGUGCUAUGGGUGCGGCCCUAAAAAGACAAAAAAAAAAAAAAAAA